UUCGAACGAAUCUCUUUUAGAGAUGAGUGGCGAACGGGUGAGUAAUACAUAGGUAACCUGCCCCUGUGCGGGGGAUAACAGGAGGAAACUCCUGCUAACACCGCAUAGCCAUGAGCACCGCAUGGAGCUCAUGCCAAAUAUCCUUUAUGGGAUAGCGCAGGGAUGGACCUAUGGCGCAUUAGCUGGUUGGCGGGGCAACGGCCCACCAAGGCAACGAUGCGUAGCCGGCCUGAGAGGGCGGACGGCCACAUUGGGACUGAGACACGGCCCAGACUCCUACGGGAGGCAGCAGUAGGGAAUUUUCGGCAAUGGGGGAAACCCUGACCGAGCAACGCCGCGUGAGCGAAGAAGGCCUUCGGGUCGUAAAGCUCUGUUGUAAAGGAAGAACGGCGCAUACAGGAAAUGGUAUGCGAGUGACGGUACUUUACCAGAAAGCCACGGCUAACUACGUGCCAGCAGCCGCGGUAAUACGUAGGUGGCGAGCGUUAUCCGGAAUCAUUGGGCGUAAAGAGGGAGCAGGCGGCCGCAAGGGUCUGUGGUGAAAGACCGAAGCUAAACUUCGGUGAGCCAUGGAAACCGGGCGGCUAGAGUGCGGAAGAGGAUCGUGGAAUUCCAUGUGUAGCGGUGAAAUGCGUAGAUAUAUGGAGGAACACCAGUGGCGAAGGCGACGGUCUGGGCCGCAACUGACGCUCAUUCCCGAAAGCGUGGGGAGCAAAUAGGAUUAGAUACCCUAGUAGUCCACGCCGUAAACGAUGGUCACUAAGUGUCGGGGGUCAAACCCCAAAAGGGCAGUCAACGCAAUAAGUGACCCGCCUGAGUAGCCCG
rnacentral:rRNA from 1 species